CUGGCGGCGUGCCUCAUACAUGCAAGUCGAGCGAUCCAACUUCGGUUGGAGAGCGGCGGACGGGUGAGUAACGCGUGGGCAACCUGCCCUAAAGACUGGGAUAACAUUCCGAAAGGGAUGCUAAUACCAGAUGUGGUCUUCUUCUCACAUGGGAGGAAGAAGAAAGGCGUAAGCCACUUUAGGAUGGGCCCGCGUCCCAUUAGCUAGUUGGUAAGGUAGAGGCUUACCAAGGCGACGAUGGGUAGCCGACCUGAGAGGGUGAUCGGCCACACUGGGACUGAGACACGGCCCAGACUCCUACGGGAGGCAGCAGUCGGGAAUAUUGGGCAAAUGGGGGAAACCCUGACCCAGCAACGCCGCGUGAGCGAAGAAGGCCUUCGGGUUGUAAAGCUCUGUCCUCGGGGACGAAGGAUGACGGUACCCGAGAAGAAAGCCACGACUAACUACGUGCCAGCCGCCGC
rnacentral:rRNA from 1 species